ACUCAAAUGAAUUGACGGGGGCCCGCACAAGCGGUGGAGCAUGUGGUUUAAUUCGAUGCAACGCGAAGAACCUUACCUACCCUUGACAUCCUGCGAAGUCUGAAGAGAUUUGGACGUGCCGCAAGGAACGCAGAGACAGGUGCUGCAUGGCUGUCGUCAGCUCGUGUUGUGAGAUGUUGGGUUAAGUCCCGUAACGAGCGCAACCCUUGUCCUUAGUUGCCAUCAUUUAGUUGGGGACUCUAAGGAGACUGCCGGUGAAGAACCGGAGGAAGGCGGGGACGACGUCAAGUCAUCAUGGCCUUUAUGGGUAGGGCUACACACGUGCUACAAUGGGUCGUACAGAGGGUAGCGAACCCGCGAGGGGGAGCCAAUCUCUUAAAGCGACUCGUAGUCCGGAUUGGAGUCUGCAACUCGACUCCAUGAAGUUGGAAUCGCUAGUAAUCGCGAAUCAGCAAUGUCGCGGUGAAUACGUUCCCGGGCCUUGUACACACCGCCCGU
rnacentral:rRNA from 1 species